rnacentral:rRNA from 1 species
AUGCAUGCAUGCUUUGCUGCUUUUGUGGAUACACGGUACAAUGUUGUUCUUCCAAUAAUUGGUGUUCAGGGAUUUCAAUGGGCAGUAGAUAAUGACAUGUGGCAAGCUAGAGUUGAUAGCAUUAAGCAUUUAUUUGAAGAAGCAAGAAUUGAUUCAGGGAAGAGUGAAAUAGAUGCAGAGGUUGUGAAAAAGGUUUGGGACAAGAUAGCACCUGGUGCUGACGACCCUCGUUGCCCAGUCCUUGGUCUACAAGAACCUGCCUCCAAAGCUGCUGAGGCUUAUGCAGAAGCUGGUUCUGCGGAUAAGUUCAAGGAUCCAAAGAACUAG